rnacentral:rRNA from 1 species
GGGUUGUGAGGUUAAGCGACUAAGCGUACACGGUGGAUGCCCUGGCAGUCAGAGGCGAUGAAGGGCGUGCUAAUCUGCGAUAAGCGCCGGUAAGGUGAUAUGAACCGUUAUAACCGGCGAUACCCGAAUGGGGAAACCCAGUGUGACUCGUCACACUAUCAUUAACUGAAUCCAUAGGUUAAUGAGGCGAACCGGGGGAACUGAAACAUCUAAGUACCCCGAGGAAAAGAAAUCAACCGAGAUUCCCCCAGUAGCGGCGAGCGAACGGGGAGGAGCCCAGAGCCUGAAUCAGCAUGUGUGUUAGUGGAAGCGUCUGGAAAGGCGCGCGAUACAGGGUGACAGCCCCGUACACAAAAGCGCAUGUGCUGUGAGCUCGAUGAGUAGGGCGGGACACGUGGUAUCCUGUCUGAAUAUGGGGGACCAUCCUCCAAGGCUAAAUACUCCUGACUGACCGAUAGUGAACCAGUACCGUGAGGGAAAGGCGAAAAGAACCCCGGCGAGGGGAGUGAAAAAGAACCUGAAACCGUGUACGUACAAGCAGUGGGAGCACAGGUUUACCUGUGUGACUGCGUACCUUUUGUAUAAUGGGUCAGCGACUUAUAUUCUGUAGCAAGGUUAACCGAAUAGGGGAGCCGGAGGGAAACCGAGUCUUAAUUGGGCGUUAAGUUGCAGGGUAUAGACCCGAAACCCGGUGAUCUAGCCAUGGGCAGGUUGAAGGUUGGGUAACACUAACUGGAGGACCGAACCGACUAAUGUUGAAAAAUUAGCGGAUGACCUGUGGCUGGGGGUGAAAGGCCAAUCAAACCGGGAGAUAGCUGGUUCUCCCCGAAAGCUAUUUAGGUAGCGCCUCGUGAAUUCAUCUCCGGGGUAGAGCACUGUUUCGGCUAGGGGGCCAUCCCGGCUUACCAACCCGAUGCAAACUGCGAAUACCGGAGAAUGUUAUCACGGGAGACACACGGCGGGUGCUAACGUCCGUCGUGAAGAGGGAAACAACCCAGACCGCCAGCUAAGGUCCCAAAGUCAUGGUUAAGUGGGAAACGAUGUGGGAAGGCCCAGACAGCCAGGAUGUUGGCUUAGAAGCAGCCAUCAUUUAAAGAAAGCGUAAUAGCUCACUGGUCGAGUCGGCCUGCGCGGAAGAUGUAACGGGGCUAAACCAUGCACCGAAGCUGCGGCAGCGACACUGUGUGUUGUUGGGUAGGGGAGCGUUCUGUAAGCCUGUGAAGGUGUGUCGUGAGGCAUGCUGGAGGUAUCAGAAGUGCGAAUGCUGACAUAAGUAACGAUAAAGCGGGUGAAAAGCCCGCUCGCCGGAAGACCAAGGGUUCCUGUCCAACGUUAAUCGGGGCAGGGUGAGUCGACCCCUAAGGCGAGGCCGAAAGGCGUAGUCGAUGGGAAACAGGUUAAUAUUCCUGUACUUGGUGUUACUGCGAAGGGGGACGGAGAAGGCUAUGUUGGCCGGGCGACGGUUGUCCCGGUUUAAGCGUGUAGGUGUGUGUUCCAGGUAAAUCCGGUUCACUUUAACACUGAGGCGUGAUGACGAGGCACUACGGUGCUGAAGCAACAAAUGCCCUGCUUCCAGGAAAAGCCUCUAAGCAUCAGGUAACAUCAAAUCGUACCCCAAACCGACACAGGUGGUCAGGUAGAGAAUACCAAGGCGCUUGAGAGAACUCGGGUGAAGGAACUAGGCAAAAUGGUGCCGUAACUUCGGGAGAAGGCACGCUGACACGUAGGUGAAGUGAUUUACUCAUGGAGCUGAAGUCAGUCGAAGAUACCAGCUGGCUGCAACUGUUUAUUAAAAACACAGCACUGUGCAAACACGAAAGUGGACGUAUACGGUGUGACGCCUGCCCGGUGCCGGAAGGUUAAUUGAUGGGGUCAGCGCAAGCGAAGCUCCUGAUCGAAGCCCCGGUAAACGGCGGCCGUAACUAUAACGGUCCUAAGGUAGCGAAAUUCCUUGUCGGGUAAGUUCCGACCUGCACGAAUGGCGUAAUGAUGGCCAGGCUGUCUCCACCCGAGACUCAGUGAAAUUGAACUCGCUGUGAAGAUGCAGUGUACCCGCGGCAAGACGGAAAGACCCCGUGAACCUUUACUAUAGCUUGACACUGAACAUUGAGCCUUGAUGUGUAGGAUAGGUGGGAGGCUUUGAAGCGUGGACGCCAGUCUGCGUGGAGCCGACCUUGAAAUACCACCCUUUAAUGUUUGAUGUUCUAACGUGGACCCGUAAUCCGGGUUGCGGACAGUGUCUGGUGGGUAGUUUGACUGGGGCGGUCUCCUCCUAAAGAGUAACGGAGGAGCACGAAGGUUGGCUAAUCCUGGUCGGACAUCAGGAGGUUAGUGCAAUGGCAUAAGCCAGCUUGACUGCGAGCGUGACGGCGCGAGCAGGUGCGAAAGCAGGUCAUAGUGAUCCGGUGGUUCUGAAUGGAAGGGCCAUCGCUCAACGGAUAAAAGGUACUCCGGGGAUAACAGGCUGAUACCGCCCAAGAGUUCAUAUCGACGGCGGUGUUUGGCACCUCGAUGUCGGCUCAUCACAUCCUGGGGCUGAAGUAGGUCCCAAGGGUAUGGCUGUUCGCCAUUUAAAGUGGUACGCGAGCUGGGUUUAGAACGUCGUGAGACAGUUCGGUCCCUAUCUGCCGUGGGCGCUGGAGAACUGAGGGGGGCUGCUCCUAGUACGAGAGGACCGGAGUGGACGCAUCACUGGUGUUCGGGUUGUCAUGCCAAUGGCACUGCCCGGUAGCUAAAUGCGGAAGAGAUAAGUGCUGAAAGCAUCUAAGCACGAAACUUGCCCCGAGAUGAGUUCUCCCUGAGACUUAGAGUCUCCUGAAGGAACGUUGAAGACGACGACGUUGAUAGGCCGGGUGUGUAAGCGCAGCGAUGCGUUGAGCUAACCGGUACUAAUGAACCGUGAGGCUUAACCUUACAACGCCGAAGCUGUU